UACGGAGGGGGCUAGCGUUGUUCGGAAUUACGGGGCGUAAAGCGCGCGUAGGCGGAUCUGCAAGUCGGGGGUGAAAUCCCGAGGCUCAACCUCGGAACUGCCUUCGAUACUGCGGGUCUCGAGUCCGGGAGAGGUGAGUGGAAUUCCUAGUGUAGAGGUGAAAUUCGUAGAUAUUAGGAAGAACACCAGUGGCGAAGGCGGCUCACUGGCCCGGUACUGACGCUGAGGCGCGAAAGCGUGGGGAGCAAACAGG
rnacentral:rRNA from 1 species